CCUUUUGGCUAUUAUGAAUAAUGCUGCUGUGAGCAUGCGCAUACAAGUUUUUGUGUAGACAUAUGUUUUCAUUUCUGUUAGGUAUACACCUCAGAGUGGAAUCGCUGAGUCACACGGUAACUUUAGUCUUAUGUGAAAAUGCCCAACUGUCUUCCUAGUAGCUGCAGUAUGUAAAAAAUCCUACCAACAAUGUAUGAGUUCCCAUGUGUCCACAUCUUUGCCCACACUUAUUAUUGUCUUUGAUUUUAGCCAUUUUAGUGGCUGUGAAGUGGCGGGUAUCUUUAUUGUGCCUUUGUUUGUGGUUCAUGUCAAGUACUGGCCACCCAUCCCAACAGGGUGGGGGCUCUGUGAGUUAUGGCAUCUCAGAAACCUACAGCUGAUUAUUUUUUUAACUCCUAAUGUGGAAGGACUGUGCAAAGAAGGAGGUCGUUCAGACACCUAGAAAGGUAGUAAUAGCCAGACCUUCCCUUGUGCAGGUCUGGAGGCUGUCGCCAUCGGAGAGGUUCAUGAGAACACGACUCUGCCCUGCGGCAACAUCUCGGCAACCAGCGGCCCGGUGACCUGGUACCGGAAUGACUCGGAGCCCGUCUUCCUCCUGUCCUCCAAUGCCAGCCGCCCGCCAGCCCAGCCCCGCUUCUCCCUGGUGAACGCCAGCUCCCUGCGCAUCGAGGCGCUGAGCCUGCAGGACGAGGGCAACUACGCCUGCUGGGAGGCCCUGAAGGAGACUCGGCGAGACAGAGACCCAGACCC